rnacentral:tRNA from 1 species
GCCUGGGUGGCUCAGUCGGUUGAGCAUCCGACUUCAGCUCAGGUCAUGAUCUCGCAGUUUGUGAGUUCGAGCCCCACGUCGGGCU